rnacentral:lncRNA from 13 species
GGGGGGGGGGGGGGGGGUUAAAUAUAUAAAUAGCCUAAUAAGCUACAGCCUACACUUGGUACCAUUACUUUUGGACAGUGGGUUAAUGUCCAAAAACCUACAAAGAAGAUGACUGUUAUUGUUGAAUUGCUAUUUGUGGCCUGGGUAGACCUACCAGUCGUUUUAGAUAGCAUUCCACGGAGUUACAAGGAGUGGAAUGUUAGCUAAAAAGACUGUUACCCAAGACUAGUGUAAGAGCACAAGGCUAUAUCUCACUUUCAAGAAAGAAUUCUGAACACACAUCAUUUUCAAUAGCUGCCUUUGAAGUUUUAUAGGCAAUUUCUUUGGACAUUGUAGUUAUGAUCUUUGGCCUUUUUCAGAUGUUUCAUGUAAUAAUUAAUUGUAGCCCACAACUGAAGAAUCCCAUUUCAUGGAACUUCUGGACUUUAUUGAAUAAAGUAAAACAGUUAUUUUAGGCCUACAUAUUGUUGUUUUAAAAAAAAACUUCUUCUCCACCAAAUGUCUACCCCUGGCCCUUGCAGCUUCUCUUUGAUAUUGUUCAACUGACACACACACACACGCACCACCCUGGGCAGAACAUGUUUCUCUCACAACUUUGACAUGGGGCUGUCUUUUAUCCUCCAUGUUUCCCAGCGUCUCUGUGCUCCUCCAAAUCCCCCGGGUUCCGCUGCUACCCACCCCAGCCAAAUGACACCCCGCUGGGGCUACAGCAGAGGUCUCUCCCCGAACAGACGGCUCUACAUCCACAGAGGUGUUCAUGGAAUGCAUAGGUCUAAUUGGGCUCCUGAGUGGCACAGCGGUCAAAGGCACUGCAUCUCAGUGCUUGAGGCGUCACUACAGCCACCCAGGUUCGAUUCCAGGCUGUAUCACAUCUGGCCGUGAUUGGGAGUCCUAUAGCAUCGUCCGGGGUAGACCUUCAUUGUGAAUAGGAAUUUGUUCUUAACUGACUUGCCUAGUUAAAUAAAGGUUAAAAAAAAUGCAUCAGGUGUGAGAUGUGGUGUCUCUAUCUAUUCAUGCUGUCCUUGUGCAUUUAUCCACAUUCCAUCACUCUAUGUAGUUGUCACAACCAUAGAGAACCUAUUAAAUGAAUAUUCUAAUUCCUAAUUCUAUGGUCACAAGUCACAACUCAUUUAAACAAGUCCGCACGCACACGUACAGUGAGAUAGAGAGAGAGAAGCGGGGGGCAGUAAGAUAUCAUUUUUGUUGAAAGAACAUGGCCUAUUAAGCCUACGAGUUAACGUCAGCCUCCUGUGCGAAAAAAAUCAAUCAAUCACAGACUUUCAAAGAGGC